rnacentral:rRNA from 1 species
UACGAAGGGGGCUAGCGUUGCUCGGAAUCACUGGGCGUAAAGCGCACGUAGGCGGAUUUCUAAGUCAGGGGUGAAAUCCUGGAGCUCAACUCCAGAACUGCCUUUGAUACUGAGAAGCUGGAGUCCGGGAGAGGUGAGUGGAACUGCGAGUGUAGAGGUGAAAUUCGUAGAUAUUCGCAAGAACACCAGUGGCGAAGGCGGCUCACUGGCCCGGUACUGACGCUGAGGUGCGAAAGCGUGGGGAGCAAACAGG